UACGAAGGUCCCAAGCGUUGUUCGGAAUUACUGGGCGUAAAGGGAGCGUAGGCGGCGGGGUAAGUCAGAUGUGAAAUACCGGGGCUCAACUCCGGGACGGCAUCCGAUACUGCCUUGCUAGAGUAGUGGAGGGGCGACUGGAAUUCUCGGUGUAGCAGUGAAAUGCGUAGAGAUCGAGAGGAACACUAGUGGCGAAGGCGAGUCGCUGGACACUUACUGACGCUGAGGCUCGAAGGCCAGGGGAGCGAAAGGG
rnacentral:misc_RNA from 1 species